ACAGAGUGAUCUCCUGGGGAUGCCUCUGUCGGACAUUGCUGUUUGAGCAUGAAGGAAAUCUCGGGUAUGAUGCCUCUGAUCGUGUACAGUCAUGUUUGAAGCAGAUGUUGAGCAGACAGCUGUGGCUGAUGUUCUGAUUAUGUUCUGUUAAUCUUUGUUCAUUCAUACCAUAGGUUCAUACGAAGUUUCAUAAUCGACAGGCACAUGCUCCUGGCAGUGACACCUCCUGUCUUAGCUUCUCAUACGAUGGCAACACCCUGGCCUCACGUGGUGGAGCUGACACAAUUGAAACCUGGG